GAUGAACGCUGGCGGCGUGCCUAAUACAUGCAAGUCGAGCGAAUGGAUUAAGAGCUUGCUCUUAUGAAGUUAGCGGCGGACGGGUGAGUAACACGUGGGUAACCUGCCCAUAAGACUGAGAUAACUCCGGGAAACCGGGGCUAAUACCGGAUAACAUUUUGAACCGCAUGGUUCGAAAUUGAAAGGCGGCUUCGGCUGUCACUUAUGGAUGGACCCGCGUCGCAUUAGCUAGUUGGUGAGGUAACGGCGCACCAAAGCAACGAUGCGUAGCCGACAUAAGAGGGUUGUCGUCCAGACUGAGACUGAGACACGGCCCAGACUCCGACCGGAGGCAGCAGUAAGGAAUCUUCCGCAAUGGACGAAAGUCUGACGGAGCAACGCCGCGUGAGUGAUGAAGGCUUACGGGUCGUAAAACUCUGUUGUUAGUGAAGAACAAGUGCUAGUUGAAUAAGCUGGCACCUUGACGGUACCUAACCAGAAAGCCACGGCUAACUACGUGCCAGCCGCCGCUGUAA
rnacentral:rRNA from 1 species